AAAUGAAUUGACGGGGGCCCGCACAAGCGGUGGAGCAUGUGGUUUAAUUCGAUGCAACGCGAAGAACCUUACCAUCCCUUGACAUCCUCGGAAAGGUCCGUAGUGGACCCGUGCCUUCGGGAACCGAGUGACAGGUGCUGCACGGCUGUCGUCAGCUCGUGUCGUGAGAUGUUGGGUUAAGUCCCGCAACGAGCGCAACCCCUAUCCUUAGUUGCUAACAUUUAGUUGAGAACUCUAAGGAGACUGCCGGUGAUAAGCCGGAGGAAGGUGGGGACGACGUCAAGUCAUCAUGGCCCUUACGGGAUGGGCUACACACGUGCUACAAUGGUGCAUACAGAGGGUUGCCAACCCGCGAGGGGGAGCUAAUCCCAGAAAGUGCAUCUUAGUCCGGAUCGCAGUCUGCAACUCGACUGCGUGAAGUCGGAAUCGCUAGUAAUCGCGAAUCAGCAAUGUCGCGGUGAAUACGUUCCCGGGCCUUGUACACACCGCCCGU
rnacentral:rRNA from 1 species